rnacentral:rRNA from 1 species
AUUGAACGCUGGCGGCAGGCUUAACACAUGCAAGUCGAGCGGGGUGAUGGUGCUUGCACUAUCACUUAGCGGCGGACGGGUGAGUAAUGCUUAGGAAUCUGCCUAUUAGUGGGGGACAACAUCUCGAAAGGGAUGCUAAUACCGCAUACGUCCUACGGGAGAAAGCAGGGGAUCACUUGUGACCUUGCGCUAAUAGAUGAGCCUAAGUCGGAUUAGCUAGUUGGUGGGGUAAAGGCCUACCAAGGCGACGAUCUGUAGCGGGUCUGAGAGGAUGAUCCGCCACAAUGGGACUGAGACACGGCCCAGACUCCUACGGGAGGCAGCAGUGGGGAACAUUGGACAAUGGGGGGAACCCUGAUCCAGCCAUGCCGCGUGUGUGAAGAAGGCCUUAUGGUUGUAAAGCACUUUAAGCGAGGAGGAGGCUCUUUUGGUUAAUACCCAAGAUGAGUGGACGUUACUCGCAGAAUAAGCACCGGCUAACUCUGUGCCAGCCGCCGCGGUAA